UACGGGGGGGGCUAGCGUUGUUCGGAAUUACUGGGCGUAAAGGGCGCGUAGGCGGCCUGUUAAGUCGAACGUGAAAUCCCCGGGCUCAACCCGGGAACUGCGUCCGAUACUGGCAGGCUUGAAUCCGGGAGAGGGAUGCGGAAUUCCAGGUGUAGCGGUGAAAUGCGUAGAUAUCUGGAGGAACACCGGUGGCGAAGGCGGCAUCCUGGACCAAUAUUGACGCUGAGGAGCGAAAGCCAGGGGAGCAAACGGG
rnacentral:rRNA from 1 species